AAUGCACUUGCCUGUCACAAUUUUUGAAUAAGUCAUUUGUGUCUAUCUAUCUAUCUAUCUAUCUAUCUAUCUAUCUAUCUAUCUAUCUAUCUAUAUCCUCUAGAACCUGAAUGGUGAGCGGAGGACCAGAGCUACCUUCCUGAGCUCCAAGGUUCUAGACUGUUCCGUCCCCUCACUGAAUGACAAACCCUACACUCGCUGGGAAGUCAAGGUGACCAAUGACGGCUCUCAGUACAGUGAGCCUAAGGUGCUAACAAUCUACGAUGGCGUGUGCCGAGUGUGUGAACCAACCCACUCCGGACUCUUCAACCAGCCCCCCAACCUGCACCAACCUCAGGGGGGCCUCAGCACCUUCGCGAGGGAGAACUUUGUGUUCCAGUUCACGCCGACGGACCCCGAAGGCUCGGCACUCCUCUUUCUCCUGGAGCAGGACCCCUCCCGACUCCACGCUCUCCCCCGCCGGCCUCCUCAUCUGGAAAGUCCAUCCGGUGGAGAUGCAGGGGAAACUCUGCAAAGCUUCGAGUUCACGCUGUCUGACGAGUGCAAUGCCCAGAGCAGCUACACCGUGAGAGAAUGGGGGGGGUUGACAGUUUAUUCCUACCUCCCUCAUUCCCUCCCUACCUCACUUGGUGGGUGAGUUUAGCCCCCAACGACUGAAAACAGACCUCAAACAGACCUCAAACAGACCUCAGUCAGCAUAUGCAUUCAUUACGGAUGUGUCUCUCUCCACCCCAUAGCUCUGUUGACGAGAUGUAUGAGCUGGAGAAGACACUGGUUACCAUGGGAUGUGUGUGACAAGUGGACAACCCAAGGUUUUCACAUUCCCAGGCCCAUGCUCAUAGUUGGUUAAGUGGUAAUAAAACAGUUUACCCAAAAGCUGUGAGACAACUAAAGUAUCUGCACCUUACCCUGUGAGCCCAGGUCUGGCUUGGGACGGACAGCGAUACAGAAGACAUUGAUAUGAUGCUGAUAAUCACCCUCAACUCCCGCGGUAUAAACCAGUAAUACAAAGAUCUCUGGAAGCAGAUGGUUGUUUUCUGUCUGAGGGUAUUGUUGAGUCAGAGUGGGUAUUCAUCUCUUUAUUAGCGUUGAGAGGAGUUGAGGAUCUGGGGAAAGUGAAAACAGCCAUACGCUGUGUGAUUAAGCAGACCAUAUGAAGCUAUUCUGUUCCUGUAGCAGGCUGAGUGUGAUGACAUUUAAUUGGCUGUGUGGAAAGCUAUGUGUGGAACAGCUGUUUUUUCUGUCCUUCUGUCUAUCCAUCCGUCCGUCUCUUCUCUUCAGGUGGCUGUGAAGCCUGGUGGGUGUUAGGAACGGGCGGGACGUGUGUGUGACCAACGUGGCCUUCCAAGGCCGGCAGCGGCGAGUACCUGCGUGUGUGUGUGUCCCCAGGGGAUAGGAGGGGGCCUGUGUCAGGAGGACAUUGACGCGUGUCUGUCGGCUCCGUGCGCGGUGCCGGGGGGGUGUGCUGAUACCGGCGAUGGUUUCCCCUGUGAAUGCCCUGCAGGCCUGAGAGGUAAGGCUACAGGAACACUGGCGCGCAUGAACACACACAAAGACAGAGAAACCCAGAAGUGUGUAUUGACACUGCCAGAGAUCCGAUACAUGUCCCCCCUCCCCGUUCACCACUAGCAGAAACCAAGAGCCCAGAGUCUUAGUGGUGUUUGCUAUGUAUUCAUAACCCCUGCUGAAAACACAGAUCUGUGCUCCCGUGGGUCAACAAACAGCGGCGGGCUAGGUCCAAACAUCCUGAUCACUCCCGCUAGGCCGUGUGUGUAGCUAGUACGCGUUGAAAGGUCAGGGGUGAGGCGAGG
rnacentral:lncRNA from 13 species